rnacentral:lncRNA from 1 species
AUCGGACCUAAGAGUAGAGGUUGAUUCCACUCUCCCACCACGCACUUUUCGUAUCAUCCUAGAUCUGGAUGCCCUUCAUGGAACCUAAAAACCAGCGAGUCCCGGAAAGGCCUCAGGCAAUUGCCAAGCCGAUGGCCUUCUGCCACUUAGUUAAUGUGCACCUGGCAGCUUAGGUGGCCGCGGAGAAAGCAACUUUGGCUGCACCAAGGUCCGGCACAAGUCUGGAGAAGCUUCAGCCAGUUCCAGUGAGUUGGGAUAAAUGAAACGUGGAUCUACCAUAGACGUCUGUCCGUCUUACUGGAUAAGCGAGCACCUUUACCGGGGAAGUUAGAUGGCUGGAGUCAGCUGGCAAAUACAGAAGCAGGAAACAUUACACUGAAGCUCAGAAAAUAAUAUCCCCAAAUGAAGGCAUCAGAAAUAAAAGUUCUUCUCUGACCUUCUUUCUCUCAAGACAUUGUAUUAUGAAAAAUUUCCAGCAUACAGAAAAGUUGAAGAACACCCACAUGCCUGCUACUCAGAUUCUACAAUAAACAUUUGCUAUAUUUGUUUUACCUACAUAUCUAGUCAUCCAUCCAUCCAUUCA